rnacentral:rRNA from 1 species
UACGUAGGGUGCGAGCGUUUGUCCGGAAUUAUUUGGGCGUAAAGAGCUCGUAGGCGGUGUGUCGCGUCGGCCGUGAAAACCUGGGGCUCAACUCUGGGCGUGCGGUCGAUACGGGCAUCACUUGAGUUCGGGCAGGGGAGACUGGAAUUCCUGGUGUAGCGGUGAAAUGCGCAGAUAUCAGGAGGGAACACCGGUGGCGAAGGCGGGUCUCUGGGCCGAUACUGAC